CCUCCUUAGGCGGAGGGGAGGAUUCAGGGAAGCUUGGUUAAAAACAGUUAAGGCAGUGGGAGUCGCAGCGGAGGGUCUGAAGUUCACGACUACUAGAAGGGGAGGGGAGUGGAAAGGCUCUCAGUGAAAAAGAUGAACACCUUAAAACAUGAAGUUUUGAGAGCCUGAAUUCACACCGAGUUUAGGAUUUUGUUUUUAUCAGUUGAAAGCCAAAGAACAUUGUGACAAAACGUGUCUUCUCAUAGCCUUUCUAUGCUAAGGACAUUGUGACUCUCCAGAGAGCAACAGUGAUGGAUCUAGAAUGUCUAGGAAAAAGAAGGGCUUAAUGUCAGGAGUCUGCUUGGGGCACACCACACUAGAAGAUGUCCUCCUGCACAUUGUUUCAUAUCGAGUAUGGAACCCUUCAGAUCAAAGCUUACCAAUAAGUUCAGUAUGUAGAACAGAUUAACGUAGUUGAAGUGAGGAAGAAUGAGAGUUAUCCCAACCAGCCAGCACCCCCUACCCCCAUUCCCACACUUUCCCUCAUAGGAGGCUGCCGGGAGCACUUCAAAAACCACUGGAAAGGCCGGCACGGUAGCUCACACCUGUAAUCCCAGCACUUUAGGAGGCCAAGGCAGGCGGAUCAUCUGAGGUCAGGAGUUCGAAACCAGCCUGGCCAACAUGGUGAAACCCCAUCUUUACUAAAAAUACGAAAAUUAGCCAG